rnacentral:rRNA from 1 species
UGGCGAACGGGUGAGUAACACGUGGGCAACCUGCCCAAAAGAGGGGGAUAACACUUGGAAACAGGUGCUAAUACCGCAUAACCAUAGUUACCGCAUGGUAACUAUGUAAAAGGUGGCUAUGCUACCGCUUUUGGAUGGGCCCGCGGCGCAUUAGCUAGUUGGUGGGGUAAGGGCUUACCAAGGGCAAUGAUGCGUAGCCGAACUGAGAGGUUGAUCGGCCACCAUUGGGACUGAGACACGGCCCAAACUCCUACGGGAGGCAGCAG